rnacentral:rRNA from 1 species
AUACGACUGUCGGCAACGGAUAUCUAGGCUCUCGCAUCGAUGAAGAACGUAGCAAAAUGCGAUACUUGGUGUGAAUUGCAGAAUCCCGUGAAUCAUCGAGUUUUUGAACGCAAGUUGCGCCCGAGGCCAUU